rnacentral:rRNA from 1 species
CUGCGAAUGGCUCAUUAUAUAAGUUAUCGUUUAUUUGAUAGUACCUUACUACUUGGAUAACCGUGGUAAUUCUAGAGCUAAUACAUGCUAAAAAUCCCGACUUCGGAAGGGAUGUAUUUAUUAGAUUAAAAACCAAUGCCCUCUGGGCUCUCUGGUGAUUCAUGAUAACUUCUCGAAUCGCAUGGCCUUGCGCCGGCGAUGGUUCAUUCAAAUUUCUUCCCUAUCAACUUUCGAUGUUUGGGUAGUGGCCAAACAUGGUUGCAACGGGUAACGGAGGGUUAGGGCUCGACCCCGGAGAAGGAGCCUGAGAAACGGCUACUACAUCCAAGGAAGGCAGCAGGCGCGCAAAUUACCCAAUCCCGAUUCGGGGAGGUAGUGACAAUAAAUACUGAUACAGGGCUCUUUUGGGUCUUGUAAUUGGAAUGAGUACAAUUUAAAUCCCUUAACGAGGAACAAUUGGAGGGCAAGUCUGGUGCCAGCAGCCGCGGUAAUUCCAGCUCCAAUAGCGUAUAUUAAAGUUGUUGUGGUUAAAAAGCUCGUAGUUGAACCUUGGGCCUGGCUGGCCGGUCCGCCUCACCGCGUGUACUGGUCCGGCCGGGUCUUUCCCUCUGUGGAACCCCAUGCCCUUCACUGGGCGUGGCGGGGAAACAGGACUUUUACUUUGAAAAAAUUAGAGUGCUCCAGGCAGGCCUAUGCUCGAAUACAUUAGCAUGGAAUAAUGAAAUAGGACGUGCGGUUCUAUUUUGUUGGUUUCUAGGACCGCCGUAAUGAUUAAUAGGGACAGUCGGGGGCAUCAGUAUUCAAUUGUCAGAGGUGAAAUUCUUGGAUUUAUUGAAGACUAACUACUGCGAAAGCAUUUGCCAAGGAUGUUUUCAUUAAUCAGGAACGAAAGUUAGGGGAUCGAAGACGAUCAGAUACCGUCGUAGUCUUAACCAUAAACUAUGCCGACUAGGGAUCGGACGAUGUUAUUUUUUGACUCGUUCGGCACCUUACGAGAAAUCAAAGUGC